rnacentral:lncRNA from 1 species
AUCGUGAUGGCGCCUAACGCCGCCGUCAGGCAAGCCAACGGUAAUUUACCAAAUUAAUUACUCAUCUUAGAAAUUUGAAAUCAAAGUUUUUCCUUAAUUAGACAGUAUAAAAAUAGAAUUUACACAGUAAAUGAAAAUAUCUGCACUAACCACAAUAGUGAAUAACCUGUAAGAACACCCAAAACCCGGUGUCACAAGUGCAUGAGUAUCAACUAGGAAAUAUGAUAAAAGACAGCAUAUGUAUGGAAUAUAGAUUAGACAGGGGAAUGUAAAUAAUUUUGAUGGAGACUCUGUAUGCUGCGGAUUCGUAACAUGGAAUGCAGCUCACCGUAAGUCCCCGCAAUAGUUGCGCCUCUGCGCCUAGAAAACCACUAGACUUAUAUGUACCUGCACAAAAAUAUACACCAAGUGUAGUAUGAGUACGUAAAUCAACCUGUACCCAGUAAGUAUCGAGCCUAACCUCGAAUAAGUAGUGACGAGAGGUCGACAUCGACACUUACUAAAGAUCUAAUAAAGAAACAUAAUAAAGGCGUAAGCAAAUAUGAAGUACACAACAAUAGUGGGGUAAAUUUGUAAGGUUUAUAAUCUUCCAAUUAUUCCUUUUAAAGCAUAAGUUUCUCGAUAUUGUAUUCUACAUUAAUAUCUUAGAAAGUUUCAAAGUGUCAAUACCAAUUAAGCAAGAAAUACCAUAAAAUGUCGGGCUUCAGUGGGAGGUUUAUCUUGUGAAUAUUCGAACUACUAGCGAUAACGCACGAUUCUGCCGAGGUCGUUCGGCCCGAUCCGGAAUAACGUGUACACUACCGAGUGACGUGCGGCACGAUCCAUAGAUGCAUCUAUACUGCCGAGGUGUUCGGCCCGCUCCACAAGAAAGGAAGACACUUUAUGAACCUUCGGAAUGAGAAGCUAUCAUAAGGCUAACACAUAGGGAUGUACAAUUACUAUUAGCGGUCGAUAUUUGCACAAAAAUUCAAGUAUGUGAAAUUUUGAUCUUUUACUAUUUGCUCUAACAAUUUCCAAAAUAAUUCAAGUACUUCAAUUAAUAAAGGGUGCAAAUAUUACAAGUAAUUCAUGAUUUGGGUCCUAAACUACCCGUACAUAGCAUAAUUAGUAGCUACGUACGGACUCUCGUCACCUCGUGCGUAUGUAGCCCCCACAAUUAGCAGUAUAUAAUAAUUUAAAUCAUCUAUGGGGGUAAAUUUUCUCUUAUAAGGUUAGACAAGAGACUUACCUCACUCCGAAAUUCCAUAACCGACUCCAACACCACUCAAACACCUCAACCCGAUGCCCGUCUCUUCAAACUAGUCAAACAAAUAUACACCAGUACGUAUAAUUUAACAAUUUAUAAUAAUUUUCAGCUUCGCUCAAAAGCCAACAAAGUCAACCCUCGAGCCCACGCGCCCAGAUUUCGGAAAUGUUUGAAGAUAAACUUUACCCAUAACACCAAGAACUCAAAUAUAUAAUUUAUUCUUAAUUCCAUGCCCAAUUUCGUGGUCAAAAUCCAAAAAUACCAAAUUUUAUAUUUUCUCCCAAAAUCCCAAAUUUCUACUAAUUUUCAUAUUUAAAUCCAUAUAUAAACCGUGUAUUAAACUUGUAAUAAAACUAAGACGGAGGACUACGGAAAAUAAUUGAAAACUAAGCUCAAUAGAAGACUAUAUGGAAUCAAUAAAGAUUAGCUCAAAAAAAAAUAACUAAAUAAAAUCCAAUAAAGCACAUACACACCGAUAAUGAGAAAUCAGAGACGAAGAGAAGAACCCCAAAAUAGUUUCAUCUUCACCUUUUUAAUAAUCAAAACUUAUCGUCCAAUUUAUGAUCUUAUUAAACUCAUGAUGAUAAGAGAAUUAGUGUAAAAUACCAAAGCAGCUAAGUAGGAAGGCAUUGAUACAGUAGACAAGAGAAUGAAUUGAACAUUAUAUAGAGGAGAAAGAAUUUCAGCACCUAUCACUCUUACGAAAUCCAAAAAAAAACAGUAAGAAAAAGUCAAAAAUCAUUAUUAUUUAUAUUCCACACAACAAGCACAAAUUAAGAAAAAUAAAUAAAUAAAUAAAUAAAGUUAUCAAAAUGUGCUGAAACAUAACAAAUAAACUACUAAUUUAUGAUAUACGAAGUAAAAAUUGAAGCAAGGUAGAAAAAGGAAAGGACCUUUGUAUUAUAUAAUUUUGCCUUGAAUGUGAAUGCACCUCGAAUUCGAACAAAGCACAGGUUACUACGGACUAUAUCUCAGCCUCAAUCACUCGACAUCAACUCAACCAACGAAAUCGAUCUCCAUUACGUUGCUUUGAUAGAUUAAUUUCAACCCAGCUGAAUUUGGAUAGAAUAUAGCCAUUGUUUAUGUUCAAAAAGGAAUAUGAGUAAGAUGAGUGAUUGUGAGAUUUCAAGCUCUCUUUCUUUUUGUUGUUUUCGUAUCUUUCAUUUUUGUUUCCUUUUUCUUCUUUUUUUAGGUGCCUUUUUCGUGUCCCUUUCCCCAAAAAACCAGCCCCUCCUUAUCGUUUC